rnacentral:rRNA from 1 species
UACGUAGGGUGCAAGCGUUAAUCGGAAUUACUGGGCGUAAAGCGUGCGUAGGUGGUUCGUUGUGUCUGUGGUGAAAGCCCCGGGCUUAACCUGGGAAUGGCCAUGGAAACUGGCGAGCUGGAGUGUGGCAGAGGGGGGUGGAAUUCCGCGUGUAGCAGUGAAAUGCGUAGAGAUGCGGAGGAACACCGAUGGCGAAGGCAGCCCCCUGGGCUAACACUGACGCUGAGGCACGAAAGCGUGGGGAGCAAACAGG